rnacentral:tRNA from 1 species
GUCUGUAUAGAUUAAGUUAAAUUGUGAGGCUGUUAACCUUAAGAUAAGUUUUUUUGCGGGCG